GGGGCGGUGGCGGAACAGGAAGACGCCGGGGACUUAAAAUCCUCUGUCCGAGAGGACGUGUGGGUUCGAAUCCCACCCGCCCUA
rnacentral:tRNA from 1 species